GUAGGUGGCAAGCGUUGUCCGGAAUUAUUGGGCGUAAAGCGCGCGCAGGCGGUUCUUUAAGUCUGAUGUGAAAGCCCACGGCUCAACCGUGGAGGGUCAUUGGAAACUGGAGAACUUGAGUACAGAAGAGGAAAGCGGAAUUCCACGUGUAGCAGUGAAAUGCGUAGAGAUGUGGAGGAACACCAGUGGCGAAGGCGGCUUUCUGGUCUGUAACUGACGCUGAGGCGCGAAAGCGUGGGGAGCAAACAGGAUUAGAUACCCUGGUAGUCCACGCCGUAAACGAUGAGUGCUAAGUGUUAGGGGGUUUCCGCCCCCCUUAGUGCUGCAGCUAACGCAUUAAGCACUCCGCCUGGGAGUACGGCCGCAAGGCUG
rnacentral:rRNA from 1 species